rnacentral:rRNA from 1 species
UACGAAGGGGGCUAGCGUUGCUCGGAAUUACUGGGCGUAAAGGGAGCGUAGGCGGAUAGUUUAGUCAGAGGUGAAAGCCCAGGGCUCAACCCUGGAAUUGCCUUUGAUACUGGCUAUCUUGAGUGUGGGAGAGGUUAGCGGAACUCCGAGUGUAGAGGUGAAAUUCGUAGAUAUUCGGAAGAACACUAGUGGCGAAGGCGGCUAACUGGCCCAUUACUGACGCUGAGGCUCGAAAGCGUGGGGAGCAAACAGG